rnacentral:rRNA from 1 species
AGUGAACGCUGGCGGUAGGCCUAACGCAUGCAAGUCGAACGGCAGCACAGUAAGAGCUUGCUCUUACGGGUGGCGAGUGGCGGACGGGUGAGGAAUACAUCGGAAUCUACUUUUUCGUGGGGGAUAACGUAGGGAAACUUACGCUAAUACCGCAUACGACCUACGGGUGAAAGCAGGGGAUCUUCGGACCUUGCGCGAUUGAAUGAGCCGAUGUCGGAUUAGCUAGUUGGCGGGGUAAAGGCCCACCAAGGCGACGAUCCGUAGCUGGUCUGAGAGGAUGAUCAGCCACACUGGAACUGAGACACGGUCCAGACUCCUACGGGAGGCAGCAGUGGGGAAUAUUGGACAAAGGGCGCAAGCCUGAUCCAGCCAUACCGCGUGAGUGAAGAAGGCCUUCGGGUUGUAAAGCCCUUUUGUUGGGAAAGAAAAGCAGCAGGUUAAUACCCCGCUGUUCUGACGGUACCCAAAGAAUAAGCACCGGCUAACUUCGUG